GAUGAACGCUAGCUACAGGCUUAACACAUGCAAGUCGAGGGGCAGCACUAGGUAGCAAUACUGAGGUGGCGACCGGCGCACGGGUGCGUAACGCGUAUCCAACCUUCCCGAUACUCUUGGAUAGCCUUCCGAAAGGGAGAUUAAUACAAGAUGGUGUUUCACUUUCGCAUGUUAUUGAAACUAAGAUUUAUCGGUAUCGGAUGGGGAUGCGUGACAUUAGAUAGUAGGCGGGGUAACGGCCCACCUAGUCUACGAUGUCUAGGGGUUCUGAGAGGAAGGUCCCCCACACUGGAACUGAGACACGGUCCAGACUCCUACGGGAGGCAGCAGUGAGGAAUAUUGGUCAAUGGUCGGAAGACUGAACCAGCCAAGUAGCGUGAAGGAUGAAGGUUCUAUGGAUUGUAAACUUCUUUUAUACGGGAAUAAAACCUCCCACGUGUGGGAGCUUGUAUGUACCGUAUGAAUAAGCAUCGGCUAACUCCGUG
rnacentral:rRNA from 1 species